rnacentral:rRNA from 1 species
GACGAACCGUGCAAACGUUGUUCGGAAUCACUGGGCUUAAAGGGCGCGUAGGCGGGUUCCCAAGUCGGUGGUGAAAUCUUGCGGCUCAACCGUAGAAGUGCCGCCGAUACUGGGAGUCUCGAGGGAGGUAGGGGUCGAGGGAACUUCCGGUGGAGCGGUGAAAUGCGUAGAUAUCGGAAGGAACGCCGGUGGCGAAAGCGCUCGACUGGACCUUUUCUGACGCUGAGGCGCGAAAGCCAGGGGAGCGAACGGG